GGGUUGCGGACAGUGUCUGGUGGGUAGUUUGACUGGGGCGGUCUCCUCCUAAAGAGUAACGGAGGAGCACGAAGGUUGGCUAAUCCUGGUCGGACAUCAGGAGGUUAGUGCAAUGGCAUAAGCCAGCUUGACUGCGAGCGUGACGGCGCGAGCAGGUGCGAAAGCAGGUCAUAGUGAUCCGGUGGUUCUGAAUGGAAGGGCCAUCGCUCAACGGAUAAAAGGUACUCCGGGGAUAACAGGCUGAUACCGCCCAAGAGUUCAUAUCGACGGCGGUGUUUGGCACCUCGAUGUCGGCUCAUCACAUCCUGGGGCUGAAGUAGGUCCCAAGGGUAUGGCUGUUCGCCAUUUAAAGUGGUACGCGAGCUGGGUUUAGAACGUCGUGAGACAGUUCGGUCCCUAUCUGCCGUGGGCGCUGGAGAACUGAGGGGGGCUGCUCCUAGUACGAGAGGACCGGAGUGGACGCAUCACUGGUGUUCGGGUUGUCAUGCCAAUGGCACUGCCCGGUAGCUAAAUGCGGAAGAGAUAAGUGCUGAAAGCAUCUAAGCACGAAACUUGCCCCGAGAUGAGUUCUCCCUGACUCCUUGAGAGUCCUGAAGGAACGUUGAAGACGACGACGUUGAUAGGCCGGGUGUGUAAGCGCAGCGAUGCGUUGAGCUAACCGGUACUAAU
rnacentral:rRNA from 1 species